rnacentral:lncRNA from 1 species
UGUUCUUCAAUUUAGAUCUUUUCUUCAAUCUUCCGCAAUCAACUCUUCAAGACUCCAUUCAACAUUACGAAAUCCGCCAACCUAUAAAAUCCUUUAACACCAAAAUCUCCACCGGAAACUCUUCAUAGCUCAUAUCCUCUUGAAGCUCCGGCGGCUCAUAAACUAGAACAUGCUCGGGAUCAUGCACGUACUUGCGAAGA